UUGAAACGAAUCUGGAAAAAAAGGAGGCUAUAAUAACUUGUAUAUUUUUCAGUAGUCUCGAUCGAACCAUCUACGUAUAUAAUCGUUUGCUUCGUUUGUUUCUCUCGUCUAGAGUCAUUCACGGUUUCGGCAUGAAGAUAUUUCUGGCAGGCUGCUUAUUGGUUGCGGUUAUAGCGGGUGCCCAGCCGAGUCAUCGUGAUGACGUCAUAAUGUAUUCCAGCUCCAACGGCCAGGUGAAAUAUUGGCUCAACUGCGAGUUCCACGGCAACGACGUCGAGGAGAAGCCCAGCACCUUGGGGCAAUGCGGAAGCGUCUGUCUGGCCAACGCGGACUGCAUCCAUUUCACAUGGACCGACGGCGUUUGUUACAUGAAGAACACCAAAGACAUUGACUUCCGCACUCGACUCGACGGCGCCGUUUGCGGAUUCGUCAAGUGCAGAAUUUUCGACUGUUAAUUCUAAUUCUAAUUCACAAUAAUGUAUUGGAUUCUCUUGCUAAAAUAAAUGGUAAUUUAUGCCAAUAA